UACGUAGGCAGCAAGCGUUGUUCGGAAUUACUGGGCGUAAAGAGUGUGUAGGCGGUGCUCUAAGUCUGUUGUGAAAUCUCCCGGCUUAACUGGGAGGGUGCGGCGGAAACUGGAGUGCUAGAGGAUGGGAGAGGUAAGCGGAAUUCCUGGUGUAGCGGUGAAAUGCGUAGAUAUCAGGAGGAACACCUGUGGUGUAGACAGCUUACUGGACCAUUUCUGACGCUGAGACACGAAAGCGUGGGUAGCAAACAGG
rnacentral:rRNA from 1 species